rnacentral:rRNA from 1 species
AUGAACGCUAGCUACAGGCUUAACACAUGCAAGUCGAGGGGCAGCAUUUUAGUUUGCUUGCAAACUGAAGAUGGCGACCGGCGCACGGGUGAGUAACACGUAUCCAACCUGCCGAUAACUCCGGAAUAGCCUUUCGAAAGAAAGAUUAAUACCGGAUGGCAUACGAAUAUCGCAUGAUAUUUUUAUUAAAGAAUUUCGGUUAUCGAUGGGGAUGCGUUCCAUUAGUUUGUUGGCGGGGUAACGGCCCACCAAGACAACGAUGGAUAGGGGUUCUGAGAGGAAGGUCCCCCACAUUGGAACUGAGACACGGUCCAAACUCCUACGGGAGGCAGCAGUGAGGAAUAUUGGUCAAUGGGCGAGAGCCUGAACCAGCCAAGUAGCGUGAAGGAUGAAGGCUCUAUGGGUCGUAAACUUCUUUUAUAUGGGAAUAAAGUAUUCCACGUGUGGAAUUUUGUAUGUACCAUAUGAAUAAGGAUCGGCUAACUCCGUGCCAGCAGCCGCGGUAAUACGGAGGAUCCGAGCGUUAUCCGGAUUUAUUGGGUUUAAAGGGAGCGUAGGUGGAUUGUUAAGUCAGUUGUGAAAGUUUGCGGCUCAACCGUAAAAUUGCAGUUGAAACUGGCAGUCUUGAGUACAGUAGAGGUGGGCGGAAUUCGUGGUGUAGCGGUGAAAUGCUUAGAUAUCACGAAGAACUCCGAUUGCGAAGGCAGCUCACUAGACUGUCACUGACACUGAUGCUCGAAAGUGUGGGUAUCAAACAGGAUUAGAUACCCUGGUAGUCCACACAGUAAACGAUGAAUACUCGCUGUUUGCGAUAUACAGUAAGCGGCCAAGCGAAAGCAUUAAGUAUUCCACCUGGGGAGUACGCCGGCAACGGUGAAACUCAAAGGAAUUGACGGGGGCCCGCACAAGCAGUGGAGUAUGUGGUUUAAUUCGAAGCAACGCGAAGAACCUUACCAGGUCUUGACAUCCGAUGCAUAACACAGAGAUGUGUGAAAUCCUUCGGGACAUCGAGACAGGUGGUGCAUGGUUGUCGUCAGCUCGUGCCGUGAGGUGUCGGCUUAAGUGCCAUAACGAGCGCAACCCUUAUCUUUAGUUACUAACAGGUCAUGCUGAGGACUCUAGAGAGACUGCCGUCGUAAGAUGUGAGGAAGGUGGGGAUGACGUCAAAUCAGCACGGCCCUUACGUCCGGGGCUACACACGUGUUACAAUGGGGGGUACAGAAGGCGGCUACCUGGUGACAGGAUGCUAAUCCCAAAAACCUCUCUCAGUUCGGAUCGAAGUCUGCAACCCGACUUCGUGAAGCUGGAUUCGCUAGUAAUCGCGCAUCAGCCAUGGCGCGGUGAAUACGUUCCCGGGCCUUGUACACACCGCCCGUCAAGCCAUGAAAGCCGGGGGUACCUGAAGUACGUAACCGCAAGGAGCGUCCUAGGGUAAAACUGGUAAUUGGGGCU